GACGAGCGCUGGCGGCGUGCUUAACACAUGCAAGUCGAACGGAAAGGCCUGCUUUCCCUUGUGGAUUGCGGGUACUCGAGCGGCGAACGGGUGAGUAACACGUGAGUGAUCUGCCCCCAACUUGGGUAUAAGCCUGGGAAACUGGGUCUAAUUCCCGAUAGGACUGCAGGGUGGUGCCUGUGGUGGAAAACGAUUUUCUAGUGGUUGGGGAUGAGCUCGCGGCCUAUCAGCUUGUUGGUGGGGUAAUGGCCUACCAAGGCGGCGACGUGUAGCCGGCCUGAGAGGAUGGACGGCCACAUUGGGACUGAGAUACUGCCCAGACGCCUACGGGAGGCAGCAGUGGGGAAUAUUGCACAAUGGGCGGAAGCCUGAUGCAGCGACGCCGCGGGGGGGAUGACGGCCUUCGGGUUGUAAACUCCUUUCGACCGCGAGGAAGCCACCUGGUUGGAAGGGUGGUGACGGUAGUGGUAGAAGAAGCACCGGCUAACUACGUG
rnacentral:rRNA from 1 species